rnacentral:rRNA from 1 species
GACGAACGCUGGCGGCGUGCUUAACACAUGCAAGUCGAACGAAGUGGCGAACGGUUGAGUAAUACGUGGCUAACCUGCCCUCCUUUUUGGGAUAAGCCUUGGAAACGGGGUCUAAUACCGAAUAAAGGGGGAUGGGCUCGCGGCCUAUUAGCUUGUUGGUGGGGUGAUGGCCUACCAAGGCGGUGACGGGUAGCCGGCCUGAGAGGGGGACCGGCCACAGUGGGAGGGGGAGACGGCUCAGAGUGGUACGGGGAGGAGCAGUGGGGGAUAUGGCAGAAUGUGCGAAAGGCUGAUGCAGGGGCGCCGCGUGGGGGGUGAAGGCUUUCGGGUUGUAAACCUCUUUCGCUAGCGGACGGGUAGGUGGAGAAGAAGCGCCGGCUAACUACGUGCCAGCAGCCGCGGUAAUUC